rnacentral:rRNA from 1 species
CCUACGGGGGGCAGCAGUGGGGAAUAUUGGACAAUGGGGGGGACCCUGAUCCAGCCAUGCCGCGUGUGUGAAGAAGGCCCUCGGGGUGUAAAGCACUUUCAGUGAGGAAGAACGCCUGGUGGUUAAUACCCAUCAGGAAAGACAUCACUCACAGAAGAAGCACCGGCUAACUCCGUGCCAGCAGCCGCGGUAAUACGGAGGGUGCGAGCGUUAAUCGGAAUUACUGGGCGUAAAGCGCGCGUAGGUGGCUUGAUAAGCCGGUUGUGAAAGCCCCGGGCUCAACCUGGGAACGGCAUCCGGAACUGUCAAGCUAGAGUGCAGGAGAGGAAGGUAGAAUUCCCGGUGUAGCGGUGAAAUGCGUAGAGAUCGGGAGGAAUACCAGUGGCGAAGGCGGCCUUCUGGACUGACACUGACACUGAGGUGCGAAAGCGUGGGUAGCAAACAGGAUUAGAUACCCUGGUAGUC